AGCGAACGCUGGCGGCAGGCCUAACACAUGCAAGUCGAACGAACUCUUCGGAGUUAGUGGCGGACGGGUGAGUAACACGUGGGAACGUGCCUUUUGGUUCGGAAUAACUCAGGGAAACUUGUGCUAAUACCGAAUGUGCCCUUCGGGGGAAAGAUUUAUCGCCAUUAGAGCGGCCCGCGUCUGAUUAGCUAGUUGGUGAGGUAACGGCUCACCAAGGCGACGAUCAGUAGCUGGUCUGAGAGGAUGACCAGCCACACUGGGACUGAGACACGGCCCAGACUCCUACGGGAGGCAGCAGUGGGGAAUCUUGCGCAAUGGGCGAAAGCCUGACGCAGCCAUGCCGCGUGAAUGAUGAAGGUCUUAGGAUUGUAAAAUUCUUUCACCGGGGACGAUAAUGACUGUACCCGGAGAAGAAGCCCCGGCUAACUUCGUG
rnacentral:rRNA from 1 species